AUCUCUCUGAUCCUCUCCCAGAGGGUCUGAAGCUUUCAGCCUCCUGAACGGGUAAGCUCCCCCUCUAGUGUUCACUGCUCAUCAAAUUAUUCCUCCAACAAAUAAGACAGGAACUGCCUGUUUUUUGAUUCCCUAUCGAAGGACGGAGCUUGAUUACUGUUUAAUGACACAAAGAGGAAAAGAUUCCUGAAGUGAUUAAUGAGGUCAUAUAUCCUACCAGGAAAGCUAGGUGUUGAAUGAAGGGUCCCCUUCUCACAUUUAGGGAACCUCCUUUAUUAAAUCCGGCAUGUAUCUUUGGAAUAAAGAGGAGAUGACACCAAUUCUUUUGUUGUUGAACUUCAAGGACUCACUUAAAAUAAAGGAAUCUCAUUUUGCCAUUCAGUUACUCAUGUGACAGUGAAGUUCAGGUUACAGGAGAAGAGGAAUCGGCUAGAGUCACACGAAAGUACUUUUGGUUCAUGUAAGUCCUUCUGCCUGCAUUUGAAGAAGUCACCAGUAAGAUGAUUUUCUGAUGUAUGUCUAUCUGCAAUUAUUAGAAACAUCAGAUUUGUUUUGAUUCCCUCUGGAGAUACAUUUAUCUCAACUAUUCUGAUAAUACUCUUAAAAUCAGGGGAUCUUCUCUAGCACACAGGUGAUAUAUGGCUCCAGAUUUUCAUCCAUGAGCUUUGGGAAGACUUAAGGUGAUGCAAAAUGUCUCUCAACAUAUUUUUGGUGCUCUGCUCACAUGCCCUUUCCUGACUGGCUCUUCACAGGCUGCUGGAAAGCUGGAGCUUAUCACUUUCACCUGUGGUCCCUGAAGAUUUGCCCUUGACUGACCGUAGAUAGCUCACUGGAGAUGGCUGGGAAACUAAACCCUCAACCCAGGGAAAGCCAAUAAAUACAGGCCAGGGGACAAAAGCCUGGCCGUUCUACUUCAAGACUCAUAAGCUUGCUGUGUCGUUAUGCUUCUGAGCUCCUCUUGCUGUUGAAGCCAGUGUUAGACUUUACUGAAGACCGUAACUUCUUCAUUUCCUUCUCCUUUCCUUUCCUUUCCUUUUUCCUUUUUCCUUUCCUUUCCUUUCCUUUUUCCUUUCCUUUUUCCUUUCCUUUUUCCUUUCCUUUUUCCUUUCCUUUUUCCUUUCCAUUUUCCUUCCUUUUUCCUUUCCUUUUUCCUUUCCUUUUUCCUUUCCUUUUUCCUUUCCUUUU